AUGGAUGUAAGUUGGGAAGAUUAUGAUGGAAAAAAAAGGGAGGAAGGGGUUACACUGAAAUCGGAGGGGUGGCGUUGGAAAUUGCAAAAGUUCCUGACUUUCAUUUUCGUCUUCCCGAGUAUCAAAGUGGUCUUCGCCGUGGAGGAAGGAUCGAAGGCCCGCCUUCCCAUGUUUCCCAAAAUACCCCUCAGUUGGUAAUAUGUGAGCAACCCAAGGGGUACAAUUGUCUUUUGAUUAUGAAAUUAAAAAUGGUAGAAAAGAGGAAUGAGGUACAUGCAC
rnacentral:lncRNA from 1 species